GCUACUCCUUCCAAGAAGACUGCACUCAAUUCCCUCUUCAAUAUUCUAUCCAUGUCUCCCAAAGCCAACUGUAAAAAUCUUCUCUCUCAUAAGCUGCUGACACAGAACCAGAUGCAACCGUCCCUUCCUCUGUUCCUCCUCAGAAACUGAACUUCAUGCCUACUUGUUUACUUUUGUCUCACUCUUUACAUGUGUCUCAUUUUCUGCUGCCACAUAAGGUAAAGAGCAAGAUUCUCAAGUGAAUCCUUGUAAGUCUAAGCCAUUUUUCAACAAUAGACUUUCUGGGAUUCACAUAUAGAGGCCUCUGUCUCUGAAGAGGGAACUGACUUCUUCUCCCCACCUGUAACCAGAGCUCAACCUCUCUCUUCCUAUCAAAGGGGGAAUGGUUGUAAAAGUCAUUUUAUACCAUGCACUGUUAUAAAUGACCUGAUCCAGCAUCUUAUGUUAGUUAGCCUCUAAUCUUCAGAUGAUUCUAACUGUGAAAUCUGUUCAUUUCUACAAUGAACAAAAUGCUGUCUUACAAACCAGUUCAUUUGAUUCUCACAACUCUGGGAGAUAGGAUGACGUGACUAUCCCAUACUAUUGAGGAGAAAAAUGAGGCUCGAAGAGGUUACGUGACUUAUCCAAAGUAACGUAAGUAGAAGAAAGUUUUAGUGGCAGACAGAAAUGCAGAAAGAUUAUCAGAUUUAUCUAUAAGUUUAUGUUAAGUAUAAGAUUAAGGAGGCAGAGGGAAAGGUCUAGUGAGAAUCCUUCUUCCUCGCUAUUUCCUUUGCUCAACAGAAGGGAAAUUAUGAAAAAAUAUCUAAGAUUUACUGAAUGCUUGCAAAAGGACAGGGACUGCAUAAAAUGAUCUCAUUUACCUUACAUGAUAGUUUUAUGAGGUUCCUAUAACUACAGAGUACAGAUGAUGAAACAAGAUGAGAAAAUUAGCUUGCCCAGGCUGGAACUGCGAUUUGAAUCCACAUCAACAGCCAAGACAUGGAAGCUACCUAAAUUUCCAUCAACAGAGUAAUGGAUAAAGAAGAUGUGGUACUAUAUGUACCACAUGGAAUAUUACUUAGCCAUAAAAAGGAUGAAAUAAGGACAUUUGCAGCAAAUGGAUGAACCUAGAGAUUAUCAUACUGAGUGAAGUUAGACAAUGAAAGACAAACAUGAUAUCACUUGUAUGUGGAAUCUAAAAAAGAAUGCAAACGAACUUAGCUGCAAAACAGAAGCAGACUCAUGGACUUUGAAAACAAAUUUAUGGUUAUCAAAGGGGACAGGCUGGGGAGGGCAGGGAUGGAUUAGGGGUUUUAGAUUGGCAUAUGCACACUGAGGCUUAUGGAAUGAUUGGCCCACUGGGACCUGCUGUAUAACACAAGGAACUCUACCCGAUAAUUCUGUGACAACCUAUAAAGGAAAACAACUGAAAAAGUAAAAGAAAAUAACCUGCUCAACUCUUGGAAAAAAAAAAAAACAGAACUACAAACCUACAUUUUUAAAUAUGUGCAGUUUAUGUCAAUUAUAUCUCAAUAAAGCUAUAAAAAUAAUGUUAAAAACUGCAUUAAAGCCCACAUUUCUAAUAUCUAUGCCAAUACUUCUCAAAUUUUAAUUUGUGAUUUGAUGUGACUCACCUGAAGAAUUUGUUAACUGCGGAUUCUGAUUUGCUGCAGCUGAUAAGGGGUCUGGGUCUGAGGGUCUGCAUUUGCGAAAAGGCCCCAGAUGAGGCUGAUGCUGAUGGUCCCUGGACAACACUUUAAAUACCAACAUCUUUAUAUUCCUCUCAGAAACUGCUAGAGUUAGCAGCUCCAAUCACUGAUGGUCCAAUCCUGGAGACCUACUAGGGCAGGGAAAUAAGGAAGGGGAGAGAUUCCUGACUCUGUCUUAGCCAAGCCUACUAUUCAAGCUUCUCUAAACACCACUCACUGUUCCUUCUGCUAAGUCCUCUAUAUGCUUUCAAGUUUUAACGCCUGCCUUCUUUGUUUUCUCAUAAAAAUAUUUUCCUCCUGAAGCACAUAAAACAUUGGUUCAGAUAAUACUUAAUGGUAUUAUUUUGAACUACAACCUUUUUCUAAUUGUCUGGAACACAAUCCCAUCUACAGUCAUAUCACACGCAUUUCACCACGCCCUGCCUUUGUUCUUUGAUUUGACAUAUUAACCCAUAUAAAAUGUCUUAAUUAUCUAGAUUUCCAUCAUUAAGCACUGCUUUGUGUUCUAUUUGUUUGUAAAGAAACAAAUAGAAUGUAUCAGCUAUUUUUUUCCCCUAAGCUUGAGAUCUCCAAUGUAAGUCACACAAGUUGCAAAUGUGGGGUUUAUUCAUCCAUUCAUUCACCUGUCAUUGUCCAGUAGCAAUGGUGUACUGGACACUGGGCUAGCUUUGCCCUCAUGAUCCUUAUGUUUCACUUGAAAAUCAAAACACAAUGUACAUAUAUUUUAAUACAUGAUUUUAUAUUAUGUGCAUGAACCUACAAGACACGGUGUUUAUUCUUUAUUUUUUAGGGCCACACCUGAGGCAUAUGGAGGUUCCCAGGGUAGGGGUUGAAUUAGAGCUGGAGCCGCUGGCCUGCACCACAGCCACAGCAAUGCAGGAUCUGAGCAGCACCUGCGACCUACACCACAGCUCACAGCAACACCAGAUCCUUAACCCACUGAGCAAGGCCAGGGAUCAAACCUGCGUCCUCAUGGAUGAUAGUUGGAUUCAUUUCUGCUGAGCCAUGACGGGAACUCCAAAAUGUAGCAUUUUAAUUGCAUACAUUUAGUUUGCUUAUUUUUAACUAUUUUAUGUAGUUGUUCAGAUGCUCUGAUAUAAUGUGGUAAUUAAUGUCACUUUCCAAUAUAAAAAUCUUAUUAUGUUAACUUAGCCUCUGCAGAUAUUUGUUCUAAAGUAUGCCCAUGCACACAUACCAUGUCCUCUCAAGUUUAGUAAAGUGAAAAUGAAUCAAUUUUUAUUAAAUUUAUCAGAGUCAAAGGAAAGGCUCAUCCUUCGCCACACCAUCAGGUUUUAAUUGGCUUCCCUUCUAUCAUGAAUUUAGUUUUAAAAACUUUGCCUUCAAAACACAAGUCACUCUUUCUCUCCCAACCUUAAUAAAAAAAUUCCUAAUUUCUGGCUAUCCGGUGGAGCCAUCUCUGACCCUCACUCACACUUUUUUUCCCGUUUACAUUCACUUGCUGCAGUGCUAGGAACUUUGUGUGUAAUUUUUCAUUCUCACAACAAUCAUGUGUGGCAGGUCUAUUAUUGAGCCCAUGUUACAUAAAGAUAUGAAGGCUUAGAGAGUGAAAAUAACCGCUAAUAUUGACUGAACAGAAGAAAUAUUUUCUCUCCAAAACUGACAGUGUUCUCACUUAUUCCUGCCUCUGAGUAGGGCUGUCUUUAAUCUCCAUGUUACACAAGAAGCUACCAGGCAUAAAGGGCCGACUGCCUGAUCCAGGUUGACACAGCCAGUUAGUGAUGGGCCCAGGGUCCCAAGCUAGGAAUGCAGUCCAGAACCUGGGCUUAUACCCACCAUCAGGUAACCUGAUGGGGGUCCCAUAACUGAAGGAAGGUGGCAGAGUCAGGACAGAAAAGGCUGUCUGAAAGCGAAGCCCCUGAAAUCAGCCGCUGCACACAGUUAUUUGCUUCUUCAUCAUCCUUCUAAGUCCAAGGACAGGUUUAAAUCUGUCCCUUAUUUGAACUCAAGGGAGCACAGGACUCUGCUGUCGAGUCUCUCAGAAUUGAGAGAAAAAGAAGAAAAGUAAUAGCAGUUUGAAAAUUGCUUCCUUUUCUAACUCUUACUGUCCAUCUACCCACUGGCAUCUGUGCCCAUGCACCUGCCCAGGGCCAAUCUGGACCAUCAUUUCCUCUCAUCCGUUCAAGAUCUUUCCUCCUGAAGUGUCCCCCUCUCCCAUCCAUUGUCAGUUUAUCCUUCCUUCCUCAAUUAUUUCUAUCAUUUCACAGGCUAUCCUGUUUCCUAGCUUUAGAAAGCCCUCACUAGGUCCCAGCUCCUGCCUCUUUUAUCUGGACCUCAACCACUACCACACAAUGUUUCUGCUCUCAUAAAGCUUGACUACAAAGAUAUUUAUACCACCUACUUCCAUUUCCUCACCUCCAAUUAUUUGUAACCUCAUUUCAUAUAAAAGACCUGUAUUUCUCUGACUGCCAAUAUUCCUUCCUUCCUUCCUUUUAAUGGCCAAACCUUUGGUGUAUGGAAGUUUCUGGGCCAGGGACUAAAUCUGAGCUGCAGUUUCAACCUACUCUAAAGUUGCAGCAAUGCUGGAUUCUUCAACCCACCGCACUGGGCCAGGGAUUGAACACAUGCCUUUACAGUGACCUGCGCUGCUGCAGUUGGAUUCUUAACUCACCGUGUCACAUUGGGAACUCUGCCAAUAUUUCUAUAAUAAAUAUUGUAUGACUCUUAUUAUUAAACUAUAUUAAAGUGUAUAUAUAAUAGGCUUUUAUAUGGCCCCCCACACCCCCAACAAAAAAUACUGUGACCUAUUAAAACCAUGUAUAUGCCAAUGUUAUAUCUCAAAUCCCUAUAUAUCACAAAUUUACCUAUCAGUCUUGUCCAUUCCUCAUCCUUGAGAGUGAAAACUUUUCUUCUUUUUAAUCUUGUUCCAGAAGAUUUUAUAUAGAUUUUAUCACCAGGUCAGCAUGAGACCCCUCCACUUCCGCCGGCUACACCCAUGUCAGUCCCUUCCUCCUCGUCUUGUGGAAUCUCUGGUCCACCAUGAACAGUCUGCCAACUGGCUUCCAUGUUCUCCCUCUCAUCUUUGUUUUAGCUUUGCUUUGUUCCCCUUUGUUUUCUCUGCUCCAACUUCCCCCUUUUUCAUGAUUCAGCCUCCAAUGGAGGAAGAAAGAGGGCUGGCUCACCUCUAUUUAGGGUCAUAUCUAAGUGUACAAUUUGGUGCAUCCUAUUUUGUUUAUUCCCUUUUGUUGUCCACACCCUAUGGUUAUACUGCCUCUCAAAACCACUGCCACCUAGAGAUAAAUAGUGCGUCCCCACCCCUAAGCAGCCAGUGGUACAAAGAUGCACACAAUGGCAAUGCAGAAGGAAUUUUGGUGAAGAUAAUGGCUCUCCGGCAGCAAGCGGGGGAAAACUAGUUUACACUUGGGGAGGAAAGGGCAAGAGCUAUCCUACAUACACUUUGAUGAUCAGUGGAAGUUAUCACAGCAAAGUUAUAAUCUUGUAACAGGAAGAGGGACCAGAGUGCUUGGAAGAGGGUGGGGCAUGUCCCCUUAGAGCAUGUUUUUUUUAAGGCGAGAGAGUAAGGUGGAAGUUAGGAAAUGGUGGGAAAUAAACCUUGAGAAAUAAACCUUGAGAAUUAGGCAAAAGUCAAAUCCCAUGCUAAGAAAUCUAGAAUUUUUUUUUUCUUUUAAGUCUCUGGGGAGUCAGCUUACUUCAAAUAAUAAAAGUGUUAAUAUUUAUUGAGGGCUUCCAGUGUGCCGUGUAUUAUCUUCACAACACUCUUUUGAGGCAGGUGCUAUUAUUUUUUCCAGUUUAUAAAUAAGAAAACUGAGAGACAUAGAAGUUAAGAAGUACUGAAGGUCAGGUAGCUAGGAAGUGGCUCGGUUUGAAUUAUAAUUAGAUUUUCAUUUCAGAAAGAUAAAGGAGUGUAUUUGGUUUCUGGGUUGUUCCUGUAUAAUGCAGUACGGCUAGGAGAGAUCUCAAGGAGUCAGUCGGGAGGGGUAAAAGGAGUAGAGGAAUUCACUUUUGCCUUCCUGGUUGGUGGUGUGGGGUGAAAGUCCACAUAGAGAUGCCCAGUUGGAUAGACGGAUGGAUAUGGAUGAGGGAAAGAUGCCUAGGCUGGAGGCAGAGAUUGGAGUCAUUGGGCUAAAGGCCAUAGCUUAAACCUGGAGGUUAAGUGAAUUAGGAAGCAAAGAGUUCUGAACAGAAUUUGGGGGCGGGUAGGGAGGGGGACUUGUGUUUCAGCGGUAGACACAGGAAAAAACUUAGAAAAAGAAGGAAAGGAGGGAGGGAGAGGGACAAACAGCAAGGAAAGGAGGAAGGGAAGGAGGGAGAGAGGGAGACAAUGAGAGGGAAGGGCACCAGGAGAUUCCAGCAGAGGAAAGAGGGAAUUUCAAAAAGGUCGGUGGCCACAGAAUUUGCAGAGAAUUCAAAAGAGUUAGGGAUCAAAAACUCUUGGGAGUCACUAGCCAGGAGAUCUUUGCUCAUUUUGGCCACUGCAGUUCUAGGGAAGGAAGGUGGGAGAAAUAGAAUGUGUACAUGUAUGUGUAACUGGGUCACCAUGUGUACAGUAGAAAAAAAAAGUUGUAUCGGAGAAAUAACUAUUAAAAAUAAUAAUAAUAAUAAAAAAAGAAGGAACAAGAGAGAGAAAUCAAAAGGAAACGUAGGCAGGGGUGUUUUUUCCAGAACCCAUUUUCCAUUUACAUAGGAAAGGCAAAUCUUCAAAAGACCCCAAAAGUGUGAAGGCAUAGGAGAGAGCAAACACAAAGCUGACAGAGAAGGAGAAAGGUCCAGACUUCCAGCUGUCUUCUGAGUCUGCUCUUUCCUCCUGCUGGAGUUUUCCCCCUUUAUUUAUUUAUUUAUUUUUCCUUUGUAGGCUGAACCCAGGGCAUACAGAGGUUCCCAGGCUAGGGGUCGAAUCAGAGCUGC
rnacentral:lncRNA from 1 species